GCGAGGAAAUGGAGAGGGCCAAAGAAAAACAUCUGAUAGGAUCUACGAUUAUGACACUUACAAUGACAUUGGCGAUCCGGACAGCAAAGAUGAACUGGCUAGGCCUGUCCUUGGUGGCAAAGAUCACCCGUACCCGAGGCGCUGCAGAACUGGAAGACCACGCUCUAAAAAGGGUAAUUAUAUAACGAACUAAUUACAUACUAAUCCCUCAAUUGGUUGUAAAAGGUAGAAGUCAUGUCAUCUUCUUUCUUUCUAACUCGGAAUAUGAAGUCCUGUCACGAGUGAAAUGGGAAAAAGAGGGGUAGAAACCCUUAGCAUCCAAUUUUGCUCCCAUAAUUGGGCCAUAUGUGAAAAUAAAACCGUGUUCUAGACAUUGAAAACUAAACAUUUGUUUUAGUGCGUGUACCAUAACACGCAUGUAAAUUUGUGUUAUGUGCUUUUUGGAGUAGAAACUUAUGUAGUUCAAGAAGUUAAUGUUAACGACAAUGAUUCUUGGUCUGAACCAUUUGUUUGUACUAUGCCUAAUUGCUCGUGUGGGAAAUUGUCUGGCUGAGAAACUACGAGAGCAAUGCGAUUAUCGUGUCAUAUAUUUUCUACCAAUAUUGCAGAUCCUUUGUCGGAACAAAGAAGCAGCAGUGUGUAUGUACCAAGAGAUGAAGCUUUUGCAGACGUGAAACAGCUGACAUUUUCAACAAAGACCCUGAAAUCUGUGCUACAUGCUUUGCUCCCUUCCCUCGAGACAGCACUUCUUGACCCAGACCUAGGAUUUCCAUACUUCAAAGCCAUAGAUUCACUGUAUAACGAAGGAGUCACGUUACCUAAGCCAAAGACUGGUGGGUUUUUCCAGACAAUCAUCCCAAGGCUAGUCAAGACCAUUAUAGAUGGUGGAGAUGAUCUUUUGCUCUUUGAGACCCCCGAAAUAAUAGACCGUAUGCCUCCCUCCCUUUCUCCCUGUGUAUAGAUUACGAUCGAGCAAAACUUUUUAAAUAAUGAUUCUCUCAUGAGGUGAUCAAUUUUGCUGUAUAUUACUUUUGCUGUAUAUUGCAGGUGAUAAAUUUUCUUGGUUUAGAGAUGAAGAAUUUUCCCGGCAAACUCUUGCUGGUCUUAAUCCAUAUAGUAUCGAGCUAGUGACGGUAUGCUUCUUUAUUAAUUUGCCGAUACAAGCAGAAGUCUUUCACUUCAAUUCAGAAAUUCAAAUUUGUACUUUCCAUUUCUCACCCUAGGCCUCCAUCUUCCUUGGUGUUCAAGUAAUUAAAUGUUAGAAGAAUAUCUUGUUUUAGUUAAUUAAACUCUCUUUUAUUUUCUCUAGUGGCACUGAAUUGGCACUGAAUUCUACAAUUUCUGGAUGCAGGAAUGGCCAUUGAAAAGUAAACUCAACCCCGAGAUUUAUGGCCCCCCUGAAUCAUUGAUCACAACAGAACUGGUUGAGAAGGAGAUCAAAGGUUGUAUGACUGUCAAUGAGGUAUAAUAAACACACUCCAAUCUCUUUAACUUGCAACCGGGUUAUGCCAUAAGUAAAGAAAGAUUGCUUGAACAUGAAAUGCAGGCCUUGGAAAGGAAGAAGAUGUUUAUUUUGGAUUACCAUGAUCUGCUCAUGCCUUACGUGAACAAAGUAAGAGAGAUUGAAGGUACCACACUGUAUGGUUCUCGUACACUAUUCUUCCUCACUGCAGAUGGGACACUGAGGCCUGUUGCCAUUGAACUCACUCGACCGCCUGUUGGUGACAAGCCACAAUGGAAGCAAGUCUUUACUCCAACCUGGGAUGCCACCGGUUGCUGGCUCUGGAGGCUUGCUAAAGCCCACGUUCUUGCACAUGACGCCGGCUAUCAUCAGCUUGUCGUGCACUGGUAAGAAACUCACACAAGAUGGCUUCGAAUCCAUUUUUAUAUUGGCAUUGAAUUACCAAAUUAGUCCUGUAAAUGGCAUUUGAGUGAUCCGGAAACCACGAAUGUGCAACUUCACAUCAUACCUCCUGCUCAAGUGUGCAUCUUCGAUUAUUGUAGCUGUGGCAAUUAGGAAAUAUGAGACUAUGUCAUGGGCAAUAACUUGUUUGUCCUUUAAUAUUUUUAUAGGCUGAGGACUCAUUGCUGUACAGAGCCAUAUAUAAUUGCUGCUAAUCGACAAUUAAGCGCAAUGCAUCCCAUCUACAGACUUCUUCACCCUCAUUUCCGGUAUACAAUGGAAAUCAAUGCUCUGGCUCGAGAAAGCCUCAUCAAUGCAGGUGGAGUCAUUGAGAGCACCUUUUCACCUGGAAAGUACUCCAUAGAGUUGAGUUCUGCCGCUUAUGACCAGCUUUGGCGCUUUGACAUGGAAGCUUUGCCAGCAGAUCUCAUCAGAAGGUAUUUUACUUGAUAAAACUAGCAUAAGACGAUUCCAAACUAUUUGAUGGAGGAAACUUUGUACAAAGAAGAUUUUUUAUAUCUAAAAGGAAAACUUCAUUGUAAACCCCCCACGGAAUUUGAACUGCUUGUUCAUAUUUGUUUGAUUUGAUUUCAGGGGAAUGGCAGUUGAGGAUUCUACAGCUGAGCAUGGCUUGAAGCUAGCAAUUGAAGACUACCCAUUUGCAAAUGAUGGCCUCAUCCUGUGGGAUGCCAUUAAGGAGUGGGUGAGUGAUUAUGUGAACCACUACUAUACAGACCCAAAUCUUAUUGAGUCUGAUACAGAGCUUCAAGGUUGGUGGACAGAAGUUAGAACCAAAGGCCAUGCAGACAAGAAAGAUGAGCCAUGGUGGCCUGUUUUGAAAACCCCGGAAAAUCUGAUUCACAUUUUGACAACCAUAAUUUGGGUAACAGCAGGUCACCAUGCAGCAGUGAACUUUGGCCAGUACAUGUAUGCUGGAUAUUUCCCUAACCGCCCUACAAUUGCUCGAACCAAUAUGCCAACUGAAGAUCCAUCUGAUGAGUAUUUCCAGAACUUCUUGAAGAAACCAGAAAUGGCUCUACUGAUGUGCUUCCCCUCACAGAUUCAAGCAACAAAAGUUAUGGCCGUCUUAGAUGUGCUUUCGAAUCAUUCACCCGAUGAGGAGUAUAUUGGUGGGAAUCCAGAGUCAUCUUGGGCUGAAAAUCCUGUCAUCAAGGCCGCAUAUGAGAAAUUCAAUGGCAAUUUGAAGAGGCUAGAAGGAAUUAUUGAUGAGAGGAAUACCAAUUUGAAACUGAAAAACAGAGUUGGAGCAGGCGUCGUUCCAUAUGAGCUUUUGAAGCCAUUCUCAACAUCCGGUGUCACAGGAAUGGGAGUUCCAAACAGCAUCUCCAUCUAAAUUUGAUGAUGAUAUUUGAGGGUGAUGAUGUAAAAGCUCUAUCUAUAUAUAUAUAUAUAUAUUCUAUUUUGCCCUUAAUAAAAAUAUUGUUAGUUUGAUUCAGACUGUGCUAAUUGAAGAGGGGAAGAUAAAAUCACAGGAAAUGGAGUGCUUCUCUCUGCAAAAAUCGCAGAGGAAUGUUCUUUCUAUUAACUCACUCACACACAUUGCACUGCAUAACGGUUAGUUAUGCAUCUGAAUUCCCACCAUUACAUCAAAAAAUAAUCUCAGCCACACAUCUAGCUAAGUUUAAGGAUUCUUCCACAUGUCACUUAGACAAAAUUACAAU
rnacentral:lncRNA from 1 species